UGAAGGAGUUAUGGGGAUCUUAGUUUAUUCCCCUGAGGGAAUUGUGAGGAUCUUUAUUUAUCCCCUUGAUUUACUGCCCCGUUUGUCACUGUCUCCCAGACUGCAGGCCAGGCCAGGUGCCAGCAUGUCCCCAGGCUUUGGUCACACAACUCUCCACCCCCCAUCACUCAGUUCUCUGGUGCAUUGUUGGCACUGGCUUAUUACGGGUCAGUUUCAGGUCCUGGUGCAUUAAAACCUCACUAGUACAAUCACUUAACCAGCAGGGUUUGUUUGCUUGGCUUGGCUGGGCCCUCGGAUGAAGGUGGUGAAUAGGGAGGAUUCUCCCUAAUCGAGGAACAGAUUUUUGAUCUGUUAAAAGUUUUAAGAGAUGAACCGAAAACCUCUGACUUGCCAGGACCUGAGUGCAGAGUCUGUGUUUGUCCUGAUGCGUCUGAUGAUGAGGGUCAUAAAUUAGCUCAGGGCCAGAUUUCCAAGGUCUCCGCUCCUACAGUUGAGGCAGCUCAGCACACAUUUCAGCACCAAAUAAGGACCAAGAUUUUAAAGGAGCUCAGCACCCAUUAUGUACCCACUGUGCCAAACUCUGGCCCUGGCUGUGGGUGCUGAGCCCUUCUUGAGCAUUCCAGCCAGAGAGCUGCUUCCCGGUGCAACACGUCACUGGGGCACCAUGGCAAUGCUCAGGUGUCACUAUGUACAAUGUAAAUGACGACAUACAGUGCAGGGGAGAAUUGGGCCCAUAAUUCCUAAUGCAGAGCAGAGAGCUGCACUUCUGGGAGAGCAAAAUCCCAGGGCAGAGGGAGCAAAGUGGGCAGAGACCAGGUGGGGGAGCCUGCAGGAAGGACUGGGCUGGGGACCAUCCCUCUGGCAGGACAACAGGCUUUACAUUAUCUUUAGUUAUGGGUCUCUGCCCAUCCCUCCUGAAACGGGAUUUAACUCUGCACCCAUUCCCAGCUAACACACUUGGGCCUAGAACAGCUGUAAAAAAACACAGAUGGCUCUUACAAAGCUGAAUGCCUAGUGGCAGCACCCCCUGCCUCCCCUGGCACCAGCCGCUGGCAGAGCUGUUCCUACAUAGCUCUUUCCUUCCAGUCAGGCGGGGAACACAGCAUGUUUAAUCCUCUCUCCUUCCUAUGUGCACCCCAAGUCCACAUCUGUUGUGACUCCACAGCAGCAAUGUAAACAAAGCCAGCAGGUCGGGCUCUUUGCAAGCUGCUUUGCAAACAGGAGGAGACAAUGUAAAGAGAUCCCCAGAGGGGAAAAUAAUGGAGAGUCAUUUACCAGAUGACUCGAGGUCAUCUGACUGAUUUGUACAUGAUGGGACUCUUCCGAGAAAGCCAACACCAGGCGCGGCGCGGGGCAAGAUGCCUUUCCUCACGCUCCCCUGGAGGUAGUUGUGGUAGCCUCCAAUAAGGAGACAGCUACCAGAGAGCACACUGCCAUGCUGUGCAGCUCUGACUGCAUUGUUCCUAGGAGGAGGAAUUUAAGAGACCACAGGAAAGGCAGUUUUCACAUGACCAGGGGAGCCUGUUGCAGAGGACAUGUGGAUCACAGCCCCGUCACCAGGCUGCGGCAUCCUGCGUACGCUGUCCAACCCGUGAAACAACCUCACAGAGUCCAGUGCUUGUUCUAAGCACCAGAGUCCUGCGAGCACCCCUGUCCUGCUGCCCAAUGGGAAGGUGCAUUGCGACGACAGCUGCCAGGGCUGAUCCUGAGCAGCAACGGACAGGUGUUUGUGACAAGGAAGGGGGCUGCUUACUUGAGCUGUGCUUGGCCAGGUAUUUGUCUUUGCACUUCUUCUUUUUCCCAAAGGGGCUGCAGCUCUGGGCUUCACUCUGACUGGACUGGGUUGUACUAGCCACACGCCUACAAGGGGGAAAACACACGAGCGAUGGAGGGAGUCAGAUCAGACCCUGCCAGAUCAGAGCUCUUGACAAGCAGGGCCUUGGAGAUCUUUCUUCCUGAGCAGGAUAAACCAGACUUUCUUUGCAACAUAUUAAAAUAGGGGUUGGCAAAGUAUUGUCCACAACUGUCCUCACUUUUACUAUGGAGCUGUGGCCUGUGAGAUAACAGGUCCCAGCAUGUAGUAAACAGUAUCCCUUUGUUGCCAGAAGGCCAGAGUGCUGGGGAUCAAGAUGGAGUAUUGCAUGCUGGGACUUGAAGACUCUGUGAGCCACAUCUCAGCAUUAAAGACCAUAAAGGGUCCAACUGCCCCUGCAAGUGAGGCUCCCAGACUCCAGAUUUGCUAGUGCAGCCCCUUCCAUUGGUCAAAAUUUGGAUGGACCAACCUGAGGAGAGCCUGUGAAAUACCAGUGACAUUGGCCAAUCUCUUGUUAAUAUAAGAGCUCGGCGGGUUGUGACACCCUGUACCCCAUGUUCACUACUUUUAUAUGGCUAUAAAAUAUUUUGUACAAAGUAUACCUUGUUUGAAAACUC